UCCCCCCGGCGAUGGGCAGAGACACCUUGGUGUUGUUCUUAUGUCAGUCAGGGGCAGAGCGGAUGGCGGUCCUUUGUUCAUCCUAGCUUGAUGCCUGGCUUGGUGGCCAAAGAUGGUUUACACCUAGGACUCAGAA
ensembl:snoRNA